GUGGGGAAUAUUGGACAAUGGGGGGAACCCUGAUCCAGCCAUGCCGCGUGUGUGAAGAAGGCCUUUUGGUUGUAAAGCACUUUAAGCGAGGAGGAGGCUACCGAGAUUAAUACUCUUGGAUAGUGGACGUUACUCGCAGAAUAAGCACCGGCUAACUCUGUGCCAGCAGCCGCGGUAAUACAGAGGGUGCAAGCGUUAAUCGGAUUUACUGGGCGUAAAGCGCGCGUAGGUGGCCAAUUAAGUCAAAUGUGAAAUCCCCGAGCUUAACUUGGGAAUUGCAGUCGAUACUGGUUGGCUAGAGUAUGGGAGAGGAUGGUAGAAUUCCAGGUGUAGCGGUGAAAUGCGUAGAGAUCUGGAGGAAUACCGAUGGCGAAGGCAGCCAUCUGGCCUAAGACUGACACUGAGGUGCGAAAGCAUGGGGAGCAAACAGGAUUAGAAACCCGGGUAGUCC
rnacentral:rRNA from 1 species